rnacentral:rRNA from 1 species
AUUACAUUUUGAUCUUGGCUCAAAUUGAACGCUGGCGGCUUGCCUUACCCUUGCAAGUCGAACGGUAACGCGGGGCACCCUGGCGACAAGUGGCGAACGGGUGAGUAACGCAUCGAAACGUGCCCAUUAGUGGGGGAUAGCCCGGCAAAAGCCGGAUUAAUACCGCAUACAACCUACGGGUGAAAGGGGGGGAUCGCAAGACCUCUCGCUAUUGGAGCGGCCAAUGUCAAAUUAGGUAGUUGGUGGGGUAAAGGCCUACCAAGCCUACAAUCUGUAGCUGGUCUGAAAGGACAACCAGCCACACUGGGACUGAAACACGGCCCAAACUCCUACGGGAGGCAGCAGUGGGGAAUUUUGGACAAUGGGCGCAAGCCUGAUCCACCCUUGCCGCGUGCGGAAAGAAGGCCUUCGGGUUGUAAACCGUUUUUGUCAGGAAAAAAACGCUCUGGGAUAAUACCCUGGGGUAAUGACGGUACCUGAAAAAUAAGCACCGGUUAACUACGUG